UAGGGAAUCUUCCGCAAUGGACGCAAGUCUGACGGAGCAACGCCGCGUGAGUGAAGAAGGUUUUCGGUUCGUAAAACUCUGUUGUUAGAGAAGAACAGCGCAUAGAGUAACUGUUAUGCGUGUGACGGUAUCUAACCAGAAAGCCACGGCUAACUACGUGCCAGCAGCCGCGGUAAUACGUAGGUGGCAAGCGUUGUCCGGAUUUAUUGGGCGUAAAGCGAGCGCAGGCGGUCAAUUAAGUCUGAUGUGAAAGCCCCCGGCUCAACCGGGGAGGGUCAUUGGAAACUGGUUGACUUGAGUGCAGAAGAGGAGAGUGGAAUUCCAUGUGUAGCGGUGAAAUGCGUAGAUAUAUGGAGGAACACCAGUGGCGAAGGCGACUCUCUGGUCUGUAACUGACGCUGAGGCUCGAAAGCGUGGGUAGCAAACAGG
rnacentral:rRNA from 1 species